AGGUAGAAUGGCUGAGAGUUAAGCGGUGGAUUGUAGCUCCAUGCACAGAGGUUCGAGUCCUCUUUCUAUCA
rnacentral:tRNA from 1 species